rnacentral:rRNA from 1 species
GUAAGGAAUAUUGGUCAAUGGAGGCAACUCUGAACCAGCCAUGCCGCGUGCAGGAAGACGGCCCUCUGGGUUGUAAACUGCUUUUACCAGGGAAUAAACCCCAUUACGUGUAAUGGGCUGAAUGUACCUGGUGAAUAAGGAUCGGCUAACUCCGUGCCAGCAGCCGCGGUAAUACGGAGGAUCCGAGCGUUAUCCGGAAUUAUUGGGUUUAAAGGGUGCGUAGGCGGCCUGAUAAGUCAGGGGUGAAAGACGGUGGCUCAACCAUCGCAGUGCCUUUGAUACUGUCGGGCUUGAAUGUACUUGAGGUAGGCGGAAUGUGACAAGUAGCGGUGAAAUGCAUAGAUAUGUCACAGAACACCGAUUGCGAAGGCAGCUUACUAAAGUAUGAUUGACGCUGAGGCACGAAAGCGUGGGGAUCAAACAGGAUUAGAAACCCUUGUAGUCC